ensembl:lncRNA
CUCUAAGCUGACACCAGUAUUUGCAUGCGACAACUGAUGAUGCAGUGUUGUAGUUGGCUUCCAGGAAAGAUCUUACCCCGGGCAGAACAGAGUCAAUCUCCACCAAGGUUGUACUUUCUCAUCAUUAUUUCUCUCCCGUGUGAAGUGUAGGCAGUGGGCACCGAGCUUGGCACCACAGCACAGUGGAGCAGGAAGUAAUGGGGAUUUCCCUGAUAGCCCCAAGGUCACAGUAGUGAGCAUGCAGCAACUUGGGAAAAAGCAGCACAUAGGAGAAUGUCAGAAGGUCCUGUCACCCUGGCUGUCCUGCAGCCUUGUUUGUAAGGCCCUGACAACUGAGGGACUCAAUGCAGCACGCAGGUGAGGCUGACGCUGGGCUCAGAAGUGCCGUCAGAUGGUGUCACGCACGUGGGGAUGUGUGGUACCACGGCCC